rnacentral:rRNA from 1 species
UCAAGCGCGAAAAGGGCGUUUGGUGAAUGCCUUGGCAGUAAGAGGCGAUGAAAGACGUGAUACUCUGCGAUAAGCCAUGGGGAGCUGAGAAUAAGCUUUGAUCCAUGGAUUUCUGAAUGGGGCAACCCACCUGAUUGUUUAUUGUUGUCCUACCGCUUUGCUACUUGAGGACGUAAGUUCGCAAGGUGCAGACGGUGGGUUCAUCAGUAAGCAGAACCAGGUAUUUAUAGACUGAAUACAUAGGUUUAUAAAAGCAAACCCGGGGAACUGAAACAUCUAAGUACCCGGAGGAAAGGAAAUCAAUUGAUACUCCCCUAGUAGCGGCGAGCGAACGGGGACCAGCCGAGCCAUGAGUGUGGUUAGAAUGCGUUGGAAUGCGCAACCAAAGUGGGUGAUAGUCCCGUAUAAGAAGCAUGAUUGGACGUAUUAAGUAGGGCGGAACACGUGAAAUUCUGUCUGAAGAUCGGAGGACCACCUUCGAAGGCUAAGUACUCCUUACUGACCGAUAGUGAACCAGUACCGUGAGGGAAAGGUGAAAAGCACCCCGACGAGGGGAGUGAAACAGUACCUGAAACCGAACGCCUACAAUCAGUUGGAGGGGCUUUACGUCCUGACAGCGUACCUUUUGUAUAAUGGGUCAUCGACUUGGUCUCACAAGCAAGCUUAAGCCGUUAGGUGUAGGCGCAGCGAAAGCGAGUCUUAAUAGGGCGUUGAGUUUGUGGGAUCAGACCCGAAACCGAGUGAUCUAGGCAUGGCCAGGUUGAAGAUAAGGUAACACUUAUUGGAGGACCGAACCCACAUCCGUUGAAAAGGAUCGGGAUGAGCUGUGCCUAGGGGUGAAAGGCCAAUCAAACUCGGAGAUAGCUGGUUCUCUGCGAAAUCUAUUUAGGUAGAGCGUCAUCCGAAUACCCUCGGGGGUAGAGCACUGGAUGGGUAAUGGGGCCCCACAGGCUUACUGAUCCUAACCAAACUCCGAAUACCGAGGAGUACUAGAUGGCAGACACACGGCGAAUGCUAACGUCCGUCGUGAAGAGGGAAACAACCCUGACCUACAGCUAAGGCCCCUAAUUCAUGGCUAAGUGGGAAAGCAGGUGAGACGACCAAAACAACCAGGAGGUUGGCUUAGAAGCAGCCAUCCUUUAAAGAUAGCGUAACAGCUCACUGGUCUAAAUAAGUUGUCUUGCGGCGAAGAUGUAACGGGGCUCAAGCCAUGAGCCGAAGCUUAGGAUGCAUUUAUUGCAUGGUAGCAGAGCGUAGUGUGACAUAAGACUUAUCUUUAUUAUCGCUUGACGUCUGUUUGGUACGUGUAAACGUGUUCAAGUAGCCGUAGGCGGUAGCACAAGAUAAAGUCUUUUCUGUGAAGCGGGCCUGUGAGGGAUCCCGUGGAGAGAUCACUAGUGAGAAUGAUGACAUGAGUAGCGACAAAGAGUGUGAGAGACACUCUCGCCGAAAAUCCAAGGGUUCCUGCUUAAAGCUAAUCUGAGCAGGGUAAGCCGACCCCUAAGGCGAGGCCGAAAGGCGUAGUCGAUGGGAACCAGGUUAAUAUUCCUGGGCCAGAUGGAAGUGACGGAUCUCGAGGGUAGUUCAUCCUUAUCGGAUUGAAUGGGCUGCUUAGAGGUCCCUGGAAAUAGCUCCAUCGCUAGAUCGUACCCUAAACCGACACAGGUGGAUAGGUAGAGAAUACCAAGGCGCUUGAGAGAACUAUGUUGAAGGAACUCGGCAAAAUACCUCCGUAAGUUCGCGAGAAGGAGGCCCGGUUUCUAGGCAACUAGAGGCUGGGGGCACAAACCAGGGGGUGGCGACUGUUUAUUAAAAACACAGGGCUCUGCGAAGUCGUAAGACGACGUAUAGGGUCUGACGCCUGCCCGGUGCCUGAAGGUUAAAAGGAGGGGUGAGAGCUCUGAAUUGAAGCCCAGGUAAACGGCGGCCGUAACUAUAACGGUCCUAAGGUAGCGAAAUUCCUUGUCGGG